rnacentral:rRNA from 1 species
UACGUAGGGGGCAAGCGUUGUCCGGAAUCAUUGGGCGUAAAGCGCGCGUAGGUGGCCAUUUAAGUCCGCUGUGAAAGUCAGAGGCUCAACCUUUGAAAGCCGGUGGAUACUGGAUGGCUAGAGUACGGAAGAGGCGAGUGGAAUUCCUGGUGUAGCGGUGGAAUGCGCAGAUAUCAGGAGGAACACCAAUAGCGAAGGCAGCUCGCUGGGACGUUACUGACACUAAGGCGCGAAAGCGUGGGGAGCGGACAGG